rnacentral:rRNA from 1 species
GACGGAGGGCGCAAGCGUUGUUCGGAAUUACUGGGCGUAAAGCGCGGGCAGGCGGUCUGCUAAGUCGUUUGUGAAAAUCCGGGGCUCAACCCCGGAAAUGCGUACGAUACUGGCAGGCUGGAGACUGGUAGAGGCUAGCGGAAUUCCUGGUGUAGCGGUGGAAUGCGUAGAUAUCAGGAAGAACACCUGUGGCGAAGGCGGCUAGCUGGGCCAGUUCUGACGCUGAUCCGCGAAAGCGUGGGGAGCAAACAGG